rnacentral:rRNA from 1 species
UACGUAGGUGGCAAGGGUUGUCCGGAUUUACUGGGCGUAAAGAGCGCGCAGGCGGUCGUUCAAGUCGCGUGUGAAAGCCCCCGGCUCAACUGGGGAGGGUCACGCGAUACUGAUCGACUCGAAGGCAGGAGAGGGUAGUGGAAUUCCCGGUGUAGCGGUGAAAUGCGUAGAUAUCUGGAGGAACACCGGUGGCGAAGGCGGCAUCCUGGACCGGCAUUGACGCUGAGGCGCGAAAGCCAGGGGAGCAAACGGG